CCUCAGUGGAGGAGCGGGGAUGGAAGAGCCGGGGGCGCGGCAGCGAGAAGAGGAUCUGUUGGAGCCGCCCCUAGGCCCGGAGAUAACGGUGGCUGCAGGUGACUGCACAUGUCAUGAGGAAGAAGAGCUUGUGAAGGGAGGAAAAGUUGUGAAUUGGAGGCCUGGAAAAGGCCAUUUGGCAAGGAACGUUUCUGAUGGCGAGUCUCACCAGAGUAGAUUUUCUGGUUGCCCUUGCUAUGAAAGUGACACUACUCAUUCAGAUUCCUCGGGGCCUCCUAUUAAAUAUAUUGGUGACUUUGAUGACUUCCAGAGUGACCUUGAGAACUGGGAGUUGGAUGAUGAAGCCUGUGUUGUAUCUUUCCCUGAGCUGAAAAUUGAUUCUCCGUACGAGGAAGAGGACUGGGAUAAAGAAUUGGAGGAUGCUGAAUGUAAUCCUUAUGACGCGGAAGAUAUCGACUGUGGUAGUCUUCAGGAAAAUUGUCUGCUGGCAUCAUGUGCAUGGCAAGAAGAAUCAUUGUAUAACCCCAGGUGUCACCAUGCAGCUCCACUCUCUCUGAGUUCGCCAAAUAGAAUGCCUGAGGUUGGCCAGUUUGAUGAUGCAGAUGACUGAGGUUUGCCCCUGUUCAGGGCCAUGCUUGGCAAACUGGACUUUGCUCCAUUGCAGGGAUGCAAUGCAUUGUGGGGUGCCUUCACCUAACCUAUUGGGUUCCAAACAGGGCUUUUCUGAAAACUUUCUUUGAGAAUAUUAUUGAGCUGCAAAUACACUGAUCAUGAUUGACUGGAAGGAAGCAGAGAAGAUCUCAGACUGGACACUAACCCUAGCUUUGUGUCCCAUGAGAAGAAGGUUGGUUGUUCUGGAUGUGAAACAGCCAUGUGGACAGCCUAGAGGCCUUGUAAUGCCGCUCUGGUAUAUGUGAGAACACCGGCUCAGUGGAAUACAAUAGGGACCAUCACCUGAAGAAGAACCAAGAGUGAUUCCUGCUCUGGUUUCCUGCCUCUUAAUCCAGAAGAGACUGCAAGGACUUUGUGUUGCUGUGCAGCACCCCUUCUGGCUGAAUGGGGAGCUGCGUGGAUGAUCUCCAAAGGGAAGCCCCAUCCAGUUUUCUAUGUCUGGAAGGCUGAUGGAGGCAACACAACACUGUGGGGCUGUUGAAGUGGGAAACUAUGGGGGGGCUCCUCAGAGGAUCUCCUAAGAGUUAUGCUACGAGUGCAGUGUAUUUAUGUGCUAGUUUAUCUCCUAUCUGAUUCAUCCAAGUCUCGUAAUUAAUCAAAGAGAUCUUGCUUUACAGCUUGAAAUUGGACUAUUCAACAGUAACUUUUUGUGCUGCACCUGUUUGCAGGAUGUUACCUUGGACACUAUGUUGAUGAGAGACAGUUUUAUUUUUAGCCCAUUUUCCCAUGCUCAGCCUAUGGAGUGUGCUCUCCUGUUCUAUUUCACUGCCCAGCACUGUUUUAAAGAUGUGUCCACCAUCUGUUUUUUCCCACAUGUCUUAUCAAGUAUCCUCAGUGUUCUAAUAUUAACAGGGAGGCCUCUUCAUUCUUGGCUAUUCCAUAUUUCUACUAUUGGCCUCUUGGCACCUGUUCCUGGCUACUGCAAUCUAGGAACAGCUACUUGAUGCUCAGUUGACCAGAUCUUUCUCUAAAUAUAAAGCAUGGAUGCACUAGUGAGAUUCAAAUUUAGCUCUCAUUUUUUCCUGCCUGUACUGUAUCUUUUACAUUUGGGAUAGGAACACAGGAUCCAGAUACCUCACCACAGAAACUAUCCUAUCUUCAUUCUACUUGGUAGUACUGAAGCAGCUGCUUGUCUCUCUGGUCCGUGUUGUUGUCUUGGUAAAGUUCUGGGUAAAUCCUCAGUGCCCUUUAUUUUUUAACACUUUGGGGACAAUGUAAUUAGCACCACUGCUUUUAUUAAAAUUCUUGCCAAAGUAGUUUUAAUCCUUGUGUUCAGGGACACUCAUUUUGCAGUGUUCAACCCCAUUAUUUUUUCUCUGUUACAGUGUCUGAUUUCACAGGAGUGUUAUUCCUUUCUUGUUAAUAUCUUCUGACAGAAUGUGGAGGGCUGUAGGGCUGUUAAAUAGCAUCUUCAUUUGAAUUUUUUUUCUGUUAAGCAACAUUGCAUACUAAUUACCUUGUCGUUCAGGCUCUGUUUUAUUAAGAAUGGAGAGAUAAAUUUUGUUUUAAUUUUUGUUAUAUUAUCUUAAAUG